AAAAAGGUAAGCUAAAUAAGCUAAUGGGUUCAUACCCCAUUUAUAGAAGUAAAAUCCUCUCCUUUUUA
rnacentral:tRNA from 1 species